rnacentral:rRNA from 1 species
UGGGGGAUAUUGCACAAUGGGGGGAACCCUGAUGCAGCGACGCCGCGUGGGUGAAGAAGCGCCUCGGCGCGUAAAGCCCUGUCAGCAGGGAAGAAAAUGACGGUACCUGAAGAAGAAGCCCCGGCUAACUACGUGCCAGCAGCCCGGUAAUCUCGAUCU